ACAUCCAUCCAUCCUUAUGCUAUUCGGUUAUUAUUAUUUUUGAACUGGGUUUAAUCCCUUCACAUUUCAAAGUGUUGUGUGUGCAUUCGCAUAACUACUUGUGUUACGAGUGCAGGAUUCAAAGAAUUUCUAUUGGGAAAUCAAAGGGGGCAAUAACUUCAAUUGGGAGAAGUCGCUAGAAAAGAAGGAGACCUCUACCUGGUAACCACAUUCUCCACGUGGACGUGGGAAUAAGAAAGCGUAGCAGAGACAUGAAAAGAUCACCCAUGCCUCCACUACGCCACCUGCUGUUGGAUGGCACUGGCCGUCCAAGCGCGUGGAACUGGAAGGACUGUCCUUCAUGGUGGCACAACUCAGCUCGGAGGAUAAAAGACCAAGGUCCUGCAGGUAACAUCCCAUCAACUACCUGUCUACUCCCUCCGUCCCAAUAUAAGUGACUCAACUUUGUACUAACUUUAGUACAAAGUUAGUACAAACUUGAGUCACUUAUUUUCGGACGGAGGGAUUACUAAAUAGAAAGCUUCCAUCUUGAUGUAAUUUACUGGAGGUUAAUCCUACUUGCUUGUUUGAUAAACCUUGUCAUAUGCUUCAUGUGAGGUUUCUUGUAUUGGUAGCAGGCAAUGAGUUACUAUAUAUGAUAUCAUAUUCCAAAUACAAUUAUUCAACUCAUCAGUUCAGCAGAUCCUACAUAAAAGGAAAA